rnacentral:rRNA from 1 species
CGAGCGCGGGAAGCGAGCGGAUCCCUUCGGGGUGAAGCUCGUGGAACGAGCGGCGGACGGGUGAGUAACACGUGGGCAACCUGCCUGUAAGAUCGGAAUAACCCCGGGAAACCGGGGCUAAUGCCGGGUAAUACUUUCUUUCGCAUGAAGGAAAGUUGAAAGAUGGCUUCUUGCUAUCACUUACAGAUGGGCCCGCGGCGCAUUAGCUAGUUGGUGAGGUAACGGCUCACCAAGGCGACGAUGCGUAGCCGACCUGAGAGGGUGAUCGGCCACACUGGGACUGAGACACGGCCCAGACUCCUACGGGAGGCAGCAGUAGGGAAUCUUCCGCAAUGGACGAAAGUCUGACGGAGCAACGCCGCGUGAACGAUGAAGGUCUUCGGAUCGUAAAGUUCUGUUGUUAGGGAAGAACAAGUACCGUGCGAAUAGAGCGGUACCUUGACGGUACCUAACGAGGAAGCCCCGGCUAACUACGUGCCAGCAGCCGCGGUAAUACGUAGGGGGCAAGCGUUGUCCGGAAUUAUUGGGCGUAAAGCGCGCGCAGGCGGUUCCUUAAGUCUGAUGUGAAAGCCCACGGCUCAACCGUGGAGGGUCAUUGGAAACUGGGGAACUUGAGGACAGAAGAGGAGAGUGGAAUUCCACGUGUAGCGGUGAAAUGCGUAGAUAUGUGGAGGAACACCAGUGGCGAAGGCGACUCUCUGGUCUGUUUCUGACGCUGAG